GAGCUCGUGAUCCGCCCGCCUCGGCCUCCCGAAGUGCUGGGAUGACAGGCGGGAGCCACCGCGCCCGGCCGGUACUAGUAUCGUGGAUAACAGCAAUCACUACAUCAUAAAGCUGACAGAGUGGACUGUGAAACCAAUUCAUCGUGUGGCCUGUCCAAUGAAUUACAUUUACUCCCAAUUCUGAAAGGUGCUUUAAAACAAACACAAGAGGAGCCAGCACUUCUCUCAUUAGAUUACCAGUAGGCGGAAACCUUGGGCUUUAUGUGAAAAAGUCCCACUUUACCAACCUGAAGAGCAUCUUACCUCGAAAGCAUUCAUCAGGACAGUGGCUCCCAAUUGUGAGUUAUUAUUAUUUUC
ensembl:lncRNA novel transcript